GAUCGACCGGCAGCAGCAUUCAGGAGUGUAGUUUGGAGUGUAGAAGGUGAUGCCUUUUUUGCGAAUUUUGCAGAAAACAAACCAUGUCUAUGAGGAGUACACUGCCUUCUCUGAACAAGUCCCUGCAUUUCCCAUAGUUCUCUCUGUAUAUGAAUGUGCUUGGUUAGCUGUGGUUUUUUUGUGUACAUGCAUGUUUCUAUUGUUAGUGUCCAUCAAUUUUUAUUUUUCAGUUAGGAAAAGGCUGAAUUUCACUCUUUGUUUUUGUCCUUUUGGUGUUGGCCUGUUCAUGACUGGUAAUUUCAUUUUGUAUCUGCUUGUUUCAGUUCGUAGGAAUACGAGUAACUCAAUUUGAUUUCCAGUGAUUGUAACAUGGUUUUUUUUCAUGAGAUUCAAGAAUCUUUUAAAUCACUUACCAGAGUAGGAUCAUAAGUUGACUGUUGCAGGAAGUUGAGAAGUUACAUGUCUGAUGCCCAGCCAGUGUUCUGACAAUAACAGCAACCUUGGAGACAUUGCAGACAAUGCGAUGGAGGAAAAUAAUACGGAUCAGUUGAGGUUGACUCCUCAAACUGGCACAUUGACUCCAUCAAAGCGCUCUACGUCCUCAACUCCAGUUCACUGGAGUAAGCAGCAAACGGUGGUAGAACACUAGUUGCAGAAGGCUAAGAUGAUGGUGGUGUUGCAGGACUUGGAGGGGGCUCCGAUUAAGGAAAAAUGUGUAUUUUUCAUCGAAAGUGACAUGAGGCAGAAAGCCAGAAAGGUGCCAAAGAGCGUGUCUGCAGGGAGCAGAAGAAAAGCUGCAUGCAUGGAUCAAAUUGGAGAGAAGUGGAAUGAGAUGUGACCAAGAGCUGAUGCCUGAUUGGCCUUCAAAACUCCAUCGAAAAAGCGCAAACUGCACCAAAAAGCAGGCACGGAAUGCCCGAAAUGCCCGGUGGGCACAUCACGAACUCUUGUGCUCGGAUUGAAAUCCCCUGAGAUUCUCUGAAACCUUGUUUCUUCAGACAAUGAUUCUGUCGUCGAAACAUGGGUUCAGUUUUUAGGCUUUUUUUUAAAAAAAAAGAGAUAAACUAUGUUUCUGUUGAAAGCAUAUAAAAACAUGGGUUCAGUGUA